UUACAGUGAUGAAACUGAUUCUGCCAUAUGAUGAAGGAUGAUUAUAUCUUCAACCGUUCCACUUUUUUCUGAGAAC